UGCUGUCGGAGCGCGGGAGCCUGGGCCACCGCAGCGCCGCUGCCGCCGCGCGUCUCGCCCCGGCUGGGCCCGCCGCGCAGCCCCCCGCACACUUCCAGCCGGGAAAGUACUUCCCGUCGCCGUUGCCCAUGGCUUCGCACACAGAUUUGUAACUGGAAAGAGAAGGAGAAAAAGCACUUGCCUGAGCGAUGGGUGAUUUAAAAAUAUCUCUUCUGCUGUCCCUGUGGUUAUCAAGCUUGUCUUCCUGCCCCUGCAUGGGAGCUGCUGCCCACCCGGCUCAGGUGCACGGGGCGCUGAGGCUGGGGCCGCCCUGGCAGAAGGGACAGCUCGCCAGCCUCCCCACCAGCCCCUCUUCUGGCUGAAGGCUGGUGGCCCCCACUGGGGGUAGGGGGAUUGUGUGCACCCCACCUCCACUGUACCGUGCCCUCCAGCCUGGCAAGUAACAGCACGACAGAGACAGGGGCCCCUGACACUGAGGCUUGCAUGUUGGUGCACAGGCAGGCUGGGGCUGUCCCCUCCGGGAGGCCAGGCCAAAUUCCCCAUCAGGUCAGGUCAGCACUCUCUCCCUGACCCCAUGCCCCAGCUCACAUCCU
rnacentral:sRNA from 1 species